rnacentral:rRNA from 1 species
GGCGGCGCGCCUAAUACAUGCAAGUCGAGCGAGAACCAGGGCUUGCCCUGGGGAGAGCGGCGAACGGGUGCGUAUCACGUGAGCAACCUGCCUCAGAGACCGGGAUAACUCGAGGAAACUCGGGCUAAUACCGGAUGCCCUCGUUGGACCGCAUGGCCCGGCGAGGAAAUGGAUUCCGCUCUGAGAUGGGCUCGCGGCCUAUCAGCUUGUUGGUGGGGUAACGGCCUACCAAGGCAACGACGGGUAGCUGGUCUGAGAGGACGAUCAGCCACACUGGGACUGAGACACGGCCCAGACUCCUACGGGAGGCAGCAGUAGGGAAUCUUGCGCAAUGGGGGAAACCCUGACGCAGCGACGCCGCGUGCGGGAUGAAGGCCUUCGGGUCGUAAACCGCUUUCAGCAGGGACGAAAUUGACGGUACCUGCAGAAGAAGGCCCGGCCAACUACGUGCCAGCAGCCGCGGUGAUACGUAGGGGUCUAGCGUUGUCCGGAAUCAUUGGGCGUAAAGA